UAGGGAAUCUUGCGCAAUGGGCGAAAGCCUGACGCAGCGAUGCCGUGUGAGUGAGGAAGGUUUUCGGAUUGUAAAGCUCUGUCAGGGUGGAAAAAUGGCAUUAGAUCUAAUAGGUCUAGUGAUUGAUGGUACACCCAGAGGAAGCACCGGCAAACUUCGUGCCAGCAGCCGCGGUAAUACGAAGGGUGCGAGCGUUGUUCGGAAUUAUUGGGCGUAAAGCGCGCGCAGGCGGAUUGGUAAGUCAGGUGUGAAAUGUCAAGGCCUAACCUUGAAAUUGCGCCUGAAACUGUUGAUCUAGAAUGCUGGAGGGGGAGAGGGAAUUUCGCAUGUAGGGGUAAAAUCCGUAGAGAUGCGAAGGAACACCGGAGGCGAAGGCGCUUUCCUGGCCAGAUAUUGACGCUGAGGCGCGAAAGCGUGGGGAGCAAACAGG
rnacentral:rRNA from 1 species